UACGGAGGGGGCGAGCGUUAUUCGGAAUUAUUGGGCGUAAAGGGCGCGUAGGCGGCUUGACAAGUCAAAGGUGAAAUCCCUCGGCUCAACUGAGGAACUGCCUUUGAAACUGUCUGGCUUGAGGCCGGGAGGGGGUAGCGGAAUUCCCAGUGUAGCGGUGAAAUGCGUAGAUAUUGGGAGGAACACCAGUGGCGAAGGCGGCUACCUGGACCGACACUGACGCUGAGGCGCGAAAGCUAGGGUAGCAAAACGGG
rnacentral:rRNA from 1 species